UCACUUGAAUUGCAUGAAUACCCAUUUGGAUUUGAGAAAGCCAAAUUGGACAAAAUCACUCAAACUACCGAGAGGUAUAGAGUAAUGAUGUUAUAGGAUUGCGUACAAGACUCCAAUAGGUAUGUCUCCGUACCGGUUGGUCUUUGGGAAAGCAUGCCAUCUUCCGGUUGAGUUAGAGCACAAGGUCAUAUGGGCACUGAAGAAAUUAAACCUUGAAUGGGAUAGAGCUGCAAAUCUUCGGGUAGAGCAACUAAAUGAACUUGAUGAGUUCCGCUUUCAUGCUUAUUCCAGCUCAUCCCUGUAUAAGGACAAAAUGAAAUUUAUUUAAUUUCAGAGUCGCCACUUAGAAUAAUUUAUGGUUUCCCAAGUCAUCGGCUUAUUUUAAAUCCCAGAUCGAGGAAAUUGACUCUAUUUUUUGGUCCGCAAACACAAAAGACCGGGUAAGGAAUUUCGUUAACUUGGGAGAAGGUGUUAGGCACUCCCGAAUUCCGUAAUUUUAGCACGGUCGCUCAACUAUUAAUAAUUGGCUUAAUUAUCUGAUUUAUUACAUGUUUAGAACCAAUUGUGCAUUUUAUUCCUUUUACCGCCUUUAAUUAAUUAUUUAACCACUUUUAGGAUUUAUGAAAUUUAUUUGAACGAGUCGCGAUAGCACACUCUCGUCUAUUUUUGUACACAUUGCGGAUCGCGUCACAUGAAAUGCACCCGCGAAUUACAAGAUGUUUAUUUUUAUCAUUGCUUGAAGUUAUGGUCGGGUCACAUGAAAUGUACACCAGAAUUUGAAUUUAUGUAUCAUGACCAUGCCGCGACAACUGUACCGUAGUUAUGAUGAUUUAUUAUUAAUUGCACCUAAAACAAGUUACGAUGCUUAUGAAUUGUUUAUUUGCUUGAUCACUUCAGCUCUUCCAAUGUACUUCCCUUUGACGAAAUCUUAUGGCAAAGUCACACACUUUUCACCCAAAACAUUCUGCGAUUCUUUCUUAUAAGCACUGUAUCCAAGAAGUUGCACCUUUUAAUCAUGAGAUUAAGAUGUUAAAUGCCAUUACAGAAAGCUACCCCUUUCAAAUUGAACUAUUAUCAUACUUAAAAUUUAUUUUUUUUCAACUAUCUAUCAAAGAAUCUAAAUCAACAGCACCAAAAAUGAUUACUUAAAGAGACACAAUCUUUUAGUUUCCCUUUAUCGAAAUUCAUCUCUACAACUUAAUUCACACAAGGGACGAAAGGAACAGAGUAUACGAAAACAUAUAUGAGUCAUUUAAGACAUAAACAUCUUUAAAAUAUCACUGUGUCAUUCCUAAACACUGUUACUACACAAAAACUUUGCAAAAUUCAUUUGAGCUAAUUAAAAUAAUUUGAGAGGUGAAUAUGUAUGGUAAAAAGCAAAGAGAAACAAUCCUACUGCCAAAUAAGUUACCUACUCUAGCAUUAGAACAUCUAAUCCCAGAAACAAAGAAGUCACGACAAAUAAGAAAAGAAAGAGCCUUAGCAGAAUGGUUCUUCUUCAAAAUCUAUCUUCAUGUGAAGAAUGUAGAAGGCUAAGUUCACUGUCCCAAGCCUCAUAGAGAGGACAGAAAUACCCAUGUAUCAUAUAACUUCAUUUCAUCAAAAUUUACUACACAAAAUUUGAAAAGAAAGAUAAGAGUAAGAAUAUAACCUUAAAAGAAUGAAUUUGAACCUUGGUUGUUUGACAGCUUUAAGACCCAAGCUUUAAGACCCAAAAACGAAGAGGACUGCGACGGAGCUUCGAACCUCGACUGAAACUCUUGUGUUUUGGUGUUCGGAGCUGCUGUUUCGGGUUAUUUUUGGCAGCAUUUUUUGCUAUUUUGCAGCUGAUUUUCGCGGCUCCUCUUGGCUGUUUUCGCAGCUGGUUUACUGCAAUUUUGGGGUGAGAUUUGAGCUGAAAUUUGUGAUGGUUUGUUGCUGAUUUCGUAGCUGUUUCGAGGGGCGAACUAGCAGUGCUUUUGCUUUUUUUGGGUGUUGUUGUGGCUGCAUUUCUGAGACUGUUUUUCAGCUACAUUUGGGGUCAAGGCAAAAUUAUUUUCAUGGAAUUUUCUAGCUUGGUUUUACUGGGUUUUCAAAUAGACAACUACGAUGAAAAAUGGACGAAGAAUGUGGAGCUAGAGUGGCGUUAACGGAAGGGCUGCUGCAUUUUCUUGGUUCUUAGAGGAAGGAUACGCAGCUUUUUCUCUAAGGCUCUAGGGUUCCUCCCUUGCUCUAAAUCAGAUGUAAUGAUUUUACAGGGUUUUAAUUAAUUGGGCUGGGUAAAUUCUUUCUAGGCAUUCCUACAUGACUCUCUCAUUUUUUAUUUUCUCUGCGCUUACCAUCGCCUUACGGUGCACAUGAGGGUUUUCACCAACAAGACUCUCAUUUCAUUUCCCUUAUUUUGGUCGCAUCAGAUCCUGUGACUGUAUCUUCCAAUUCUUGAACAAUCUCAUUGAUUGAUCAGAAGGACUUUGAAAAAAAGGGUUUGGGGUAAAAGAAAUUUGGAUUGAAUUACAACUUUGGAACCUUUCAGGCAAAACCAUCGCCGAACAAUUAUAACUUCUGCCCCAGUUUCAACUUUUGGGGGAAUUUGGAUUUUUGUUUUGGUAUGACUGAACCCCAGAGAGAAGCAGCCUACGUAUCCUUUCGGAAUCAAGUCGACCGUAGUUUAGGGAACUUUGUUUUGAUUUUCUUUUGUUCUCUUUCUUUUUUCUUUCCUUUUUCCUCUCGUUUUUCGUUUUUUUUUCUAUUUCUUUUUCUUUUUGUCUUUUUUUUCCUUUUUUUUUUGUAUCUUUCUUUUUCUUCUCUUUUGUUUCAUUUUUUUCAUUCAUUCAUUUUCAAUAAUAACUUUCAGGUUCCAAUGAGGGUAAUCAAAGAAUGGGAGCCAGCUCAAAAGGGUUAAGUGUUUGGAUAGUGCGAAAGAAAGUCUUCUUCAUCCCAACCGCAGAACAUUAAUGCUAUAUAGAGGAUCCAACAUAGUACCUUUUGACUGCUUUGCAUUGACAAUUAUUUCUGGGACAUUUCCUUCGAUGUGUCCCAAGUACAACGCACUCUUUUGACAGUACUCUUGUUGCAAUAUAUGGACCUUUCCAAUCUGGAACCAAUUUUCUUUAGCUAUUCCGAGUCUUUGCUUUAUUUCCUUAAACUUAUCUUCAUUGCAUUCCGAUUCUUGACUCAAUAUUUCGAAGUCUAACAACGUUUUAGGAUCGGGGCAUGAAGUCCGCAAGCAUGUCAUGUUAUUGAAAUCUGCAUUUAACAGAACUAAAAAGAGAAUAAGAAAGGUGAAAUUAAGAAAAGAGACAUUCCUGGACAAUGAAAUAUUGAUUUCAUUUGAUUUUUAGUUUUUUUUUUGAAUUUCAAAGAUAGAAGGGUUUACAUCAGAAAGUAAGACAAUAACAUAGAACAUACGGAUCACACGCUGAGAUAAUCCGGACGCCGAAAGGAUAGCAAGAUUGGCUACCGAGAUUUCCAUCUAAUAGGGAACUUUCAGGCUUGCCGACCGUUUUUGGCCUUUCUUCUGUCUCGGCAACGGCUGCAAUGGCCUUCAGUGCCGGAUCGAAUUCCUCAGUGUAAGUAGACAACGAAUUGUUCGUCACAUCAGGAGCCUCUUCAUCCCGAAGAACGAUUCUUUCAGCUUCGAUCAAAUCUUCAAUUACCCUUUUGAGGGUCCAACAGUCAUCUGUAUUGUGUCCCACUGCUCCAGAGUGGUAUUAAAAUCUAGCAUCAGCUUGGUGCUAGGGGGACUCGAGGUUUGGCCGAUUUGGGGCCACUGGCUGCAGCAGACCUUGCCUGACUAGCUUUUGGAAUAGGCCCGAGUAUGAUUCACCAAUAGGGGUGAACUGAUUCCUUCUGAAAGACUCUCUUAGGCAAGGAUUGUACUUGGUAAGGAUGGACAUUUCAAGGGGGUGGAGCUCGGUUUUAUGUAUAAUGUUGUGGUCGCGUGCAAGGUUGCACGUUCAUCACCGCAUACCAACAAAACAAACUACCUGAACAGAACUUGGCUAAUUUUCUCACACCACAACCUUGCUAGUUUUGAAGAAUUUAAUAUAUAGGAAAUUGCAUGUUGGGAUGCAAUGCACCUAAUAGUUAAAAGCUUCUAUCNNNNNNNNNNNNNNNNNNNNGAUAUUUUUUCUGAAUGAAAGACUUCUAAAAGAAGGACUUUUUUGGAUGUUGCCUCUUAAUUUUCGAAAAAGGGACUUUUGAAGAAAAAUAUUUUGGAUUUCUUAUUUUUUUUUUAUUUUUAAAUUUACAAAAGUACUUCUAAAGAAAGCGAAAAUAUUUUUGGACUUCAAUUUUUUCAAUUUUUUUGACAUUUACGAAAGAAAGACUUUUAAACAAGGAAAAUAAUUUUUUUAAAUUCUUUUUUUUUGAAAUUUUGGGAAAAUACUUCAAAAUAAAGGAAACUCGUAUUUUGGAUUUUGAUUUUUUAUUGAUUUUUCUUUUUAUUUCUUUUUUCAUAUGAAAGACUUCAGAAAGAAGGAAACUAUUUUUUGAGUUUAAUUUUUUUGUUUUGAAAUUUCUAAGGAAAUGCUUCUAAGAAAGAAAUUAAAAGAAUUUUUUUUGGAUUUUUUUAAAAAUUGGGGCCGGAACCGAUGAGGUUUGCCUACGUAUUUCACAUCCGAUGAAAAUCAGACCCGCGUAGUUCGGUCAGUUUUGACGGAACAGGGAAACAUGACACUUGAAUAUUUUGGGCUCAUUCUGAAAUGACUUUUCUUUUUUUAUCUUUUUUUCGGCAGAGUUUCGGAAUUUCAAAUACAUAUAUCUCAUUCUUGUUCUUUUUCCCCCUAUUUUAUAAGCCAACAUGCAAGCCAAAACAAAUAGAUGCGCAAGUAGCAUGUAAGAUGCAUCAGGAUGGUCUUUUAAUUUGGGUACACCUGUCCUAGACGGACCCAACCCCUGUAUUGAGUCUCCAAAGUCAAAUGCACGUAAACAAACGUUUCUACUAGGGAUCCGACAUGAGGCUAUGUUAUUCUAGGUUUAAAACCUGGGUGUAUUGUUCUAAACCUAGCUUACCCGAGCAGACAACUCGAGCCGAGAAGGGAAGCGUACCGGGAAUACAAAAGCUUCACCGGCUUUGCAACUUAUCCGAACCUCGUUCUAAAAUUAGGAUAUGACUCUAACAGAAAAGAAGCCACGUGAAGCGCACACUCUCCGGAAGAUUUAAAAGACUCAGAAAGAAGAGGGUUUCGUAACAGUUUAUAUACAGUUCAGGCAAUAUCAAAGCGACAUUUAUCACAUUAGGUUCAAACAUGUAAAAAUCAGAUAAUAAAUAAAAAUCAAGUAUAACAAUUAUUCUAAGCUCGAAUUUUUAAACCCUGAAUCAGAGAUUCUGGUUCAAUAUCCAGCAGAGUCGCUAGAGCUGUCACACCUCCUAUUAAAGUGACAUUAAUCGAAAUGGGAUUAUUUAUUUAAUUUCAAAGUCGCCACUUGGAAUAAUUUAUGGUAUCCCAACUCACCAGCUUAUUUUAAAUUCCAAAUCGAGGAAAUUAACUCUAUUUUUUGGUCCGCGAACACAGAAAACCGGGUAAAGAAUUCCAUUAACCCGGGAGAAGGUGUUAGGCACUCCCGAGUUUCGUGGUUUUAGCACGGUCGCCCAACUAUUAAUAAUUGGCCUAAUUAUCUGAUUUAUUACAUGUUUAGAAUCUAUUGUGCAUUUUAUUCCUUUUACCGCUUUUAAUUAAUUAUUUAACAACUUUUAGGAUUUAUAAAAUUUAUUUGAACGAGUCGCGAUAGCAUGCGCUCGUCUGGUUUUGUACACAUUGCGAAUCGCGUCACAUGAAAUGCACCCGCGGUUUACAACAUGUUUAUUUUUAUCAUUGUUCGAAGUUAUGGCCGGGUAAUAUGAAAUACACACCCGAAUUGAAUUUAUGUAUCAUGACUAUGCCACGAGAACCGUACCCAUAAUCACAAUAAUUUAUUAUUAAUCGCUCCUAAAACAAAUGCUUAUGAAUUGUUUAUUUGUUUGAUCACUUCAGCUCUUCCAAUGUACUUUCGUUUGACGAAAACUUAUGGCAAAGUCACACUUUUCGCCCAAAACAUUCUGCAAUUCUUUCUUACAAGCAUUGUAUCCGAGAAGUUGCACCUUUUGGCCAUGAUUAAGAUGCUAAAUGCCAUUACAGAAAGCUACCCCCUUCAAAUUGAACUAUUAUCAUACUUAAAAUUUAAUUUUUUCAGCUAUCUAUCAAAGAAUCCAAAUCAACGGCACCCAAAAUGAUUACUUAAAGUGACACAAUCUUUUAUUUUCCCUUUAUCGAAAUUUAUCUCUACAACUUAAUUUACACAAGGGACGAAAGGAACAAAGUAUACUAAAACAUAUAUUAGUCAUUUAAGACAUAAGCAUCUUUAAAAUAUCACUGUGUCAUUCCUAAACACUGUUACUACAUAAAAACUUUGCAAAAUUCAUUUGAGCUAAUUAAAAUAAUUUGAGAGGUGAAUAUGUAUGAAGUUAAAAAGCAAAGAGAAACAAUCCUUCUGCCAAAUAAGUUACCUACUCUAGCAUUAGAACAUCUAAUCCCAGAAACAAAGAAGUCACGAUAAAUAAGAAUAAAAAGAGACUUAGCAGAAUAGUUCUUUUUCAAAAUCUAUGUUCAUGUAAAGAAUGUAGAAGGCUAUGUUCACUAUCCCAAGCCUCAUAGAGAGGACAGAAACACCCAUCUACCAUAUACACCCAUCUACACAAAAUUUGAAAAGAAAGACGUUUUAUCUAACCUUAAAAGAAUGAAUUUGAACCUUGGUUGUUUGACAGCUUUAAGACCCAAAAAUGAACAGGACCACGACGGAGCUUCGAACCUCAACUGAAACUCUUGUGUUUUAGUGAUUGGAGCUGCUGUUUCGGGUUAUUUUUGGCAGCAUUUUUUGCUAAUUUUCAGCUGAUUUUCGCUGCUCCUCUUGGCUGUUUUCGCAGCUAGUUUGCUACAAUUUUGGGGUGAGAUUUGAGCUGAAAUUUUUGAUGGUUUAUUGCUGAUUUCAUAGCUGUUUCGAGGGGCGAACUAGCAGCGUUUUUGUUUGUUUUUGAGUGUUGUUGUGACUGCGUUUUUGAGACUGUAUUUCAGCUACAUUUGGGGUCAAGGCAAAAGUAUUUUCAUGGAGUUUUCUAACUUGGUUUUAUUGGGUUUUCAAAUAGACAACUACGAUGAAAAAUGGACGAAGAAUGUGGAGCUAGAGUGGCGUUAACGGAAGGGCUACUGCAUUUUCUUGGUUCUUAGAGGAAGGAUACGCAGCUUUUUCUCUAAGGCUCUAGGGUUCCUCCCUUGCUCUAAAUCAGAUGUAAUAGUUUUAUAGGGUUUUAAUUAAU
rnacentral:lncRNA from 1 species